rnacentral:misc_RNA from 1 species
UUUCCGUAGGUGAACCUGCGGAAGGAUCAUUAUUGUAUAACCGAGGUGCGAGGGCUGUCGCUGACCCGAAAGGUCGUGCACGCCCGAGUGCCCUCACACACAUCCAUCUCACCCCUAUGUGCACCACCGCGUGGGUCCCCCUUUGGCUUGUUCGGAGGGGGGCUUACGUUUUCACACAAACUUUGUAUGCAGUGUAGAAUGUAUUUUUUGUUUUUGCGAUCACGCAAUCAAUACAACUUUCAACAACGGAUCUCUUGGCUCUCGCAUCGAUGAAGAAGGCAGC